rnacentral:rRNA from 1 species
UGGGGAAUAUUGCACAAUGGGCGAAAGCCUGAUGCAGCAACGCCGCGUGAGUGAUGAAGGCCUUCGGGUUGUAAAGCUCUGUCUUUUGGGACGAUAAUGACGGUACCAAAGGAGGAAGCCACGGCUAACUACGUGCCAGCAGCCGCGGUAAUACGUAGGUGGCAAGCGUUGUCCGGAUUUACUGGGCGUAAAGGAUGCGUAGGCGGAUUUUUAAGUGAGAUGUGAAAUACCCGGGCUUAACUUGGGUGCCGCAUUUCAAACUGGGAAUCUAGAGUGCGGGAGAGGAGAAUGGAAUUCCUAGUGUAGCGGUGAAAUGCGUAGAGAUUAGGAAGAACACCAGUGGCGAAGGCGAUUCUCUGGACCGUAACUGACGCUGAGGCAUGAAAGCGUGGGUAGCAAACAGGAUUAGAUACCCUGGUAGUCCACGCCGUAAACGAUGAGUACUAGGUGUAGGAGGUAUCGACCCCUUCUGUGCCGCAGUUAACACAAUAAGUACUCCGCCUGGGAAGUACGAUCGCAAGAUUAAAACUUAAAUGAAUUGAC